CCUACGGGAGGCAGCAGUGAGGAAUAUUGGUCAAUGGGCGCGAGCCUGAACCAGCCAAGUAGCGUGAAGGAUGACUGCCCUACGGGUUGUAAACUUCUUUUAUAAAGGAAUAAAGUGCGUCACGUGUGCCUUUUUGUAUGUACUUUAUGAAUAAGGAUCGGCUAACUCCGUGCCAGCAGCCGCGGUAAUACGGAAGAUCCGAGCGUUAUCCGGAUUUAUUGGGUUUAAAGGGAGCGUAGGUGGGUUGUUAAGGGAGCUGUGAAAGUUUGGGGCUCAACCGUAAAAUUGCAAUUGAUACUGGCAGGCGUGAGUACAGUUGAGGUAGGCGGAAUUCGUGGUGUAGCGGUGAAAUGCUUAGAUAUCACGAAGAACUCCGAUUGCGAAGGCAGCCUACUGCACUGGAACUGACAUUGAUGCUCGAAAGUGUGGGUAUCAAACAGGAUUAGAUACCCCAGUAGUC
rnacentral:rRNA from 1 species